rnacentral:rRNA from 1 species
AACGAACGCUGGCGGCAUGCCUAACACAUGCAAGUCGAACGAGACCUUCGGGUCUAGUGGCGCACGGGUGCGUAACGCGUGGGAAUCUACCCUUGGGUUCGGAAUAACAGUUAGAAAUGACUGCUAAUACCGGAUGAUGACGUAAGUCCAAAGAUUUAUCGCCCAAGGAUGAGCCCGCGUAAGAUUAGCUUGUUGGUGGGGUAAUGGCCUACCAAGGCGACGAUCUUUAGCUGGUCUGAGAGGAUGAUCAGCCACACUGGGACUGAGACACGGCCCAGACUCCUACGGGAGGCAGCAGUGGGGAAUAUUGGACAAUGGGCGAAAGCCUGAUCCAGCAAUGCCGCGUGAGUGAUGAAGGCCUUAGGGUUGUAAAGCUCUUUUACCAGGGAUGAUAAUGACAGUACCAAAUGAAUAAGCACCGGCUAACUCCGUGCCAGCAGCCGCCGUAA